rnacentral:tRNA from 1 species
CGGGGCGUAGCGCAGUUGGCUAGCGCGCGUGCUUUGGGAGCAUGAGGUCGGAGGUUCGAGUCCUCUCGCCCCGACCA